rnacentral:rRNA from 1 species
ACGGGAGACACACGGCGGGUGCUAACGUCCGUCGUGAAGAGGGAAACAACCCAGACCGCCAGCUAAGGUCCCAAAGUCAUGGUUAAGUGGGAAACGAUGUGGGAAGGCCCAGACAGCCAGGAUGUUGGCUUAGAAGCAGCCAUCAUUUAAAGAAAGCGUAAUAGCUCACUGGUCGAGUCGGCCUGCGCGGAAGAUGUAACGGGGCUAAACCAUGCACCGAAGCUGCGGCAGCGACGCUGAUGCGUUGUUGGGUAGGGGAGCGUUCUGUAAGCCUGCGAAGGUGUGCUGUGAGGCAUGCUGGAGGUAUCAGAAGUGCGAAUGCUGACAUAAGUAACGAUAAAGCGGGUGAAAAGCCCGCUCGCCGGAAGACCAAGGGUUCCUGUCCAACGUUAAUCGGGGCAGGGUGAGUCGACCCCUAAGGCGAGGCCGAAAGGCGUAGUCGAUGGGAAACAGGUUAAUAUUCCUGUACUUGGUGUUACUGCGAAGGGGGGACGGAGAAGGCUAUGUUGGCCGGGCGACGGUUGUCCCGGUUUAAGCGUGUAGGCUGGUUUUCCAGGCAAAUCCGGAAAAUCAAGGCUGAGGCGUGAUGACGAGGCACUACGGUGCUGAAGCAACAAAUGCCCUGCUUCCAGGAAAAGCCUCUAAGCAUCAGGUAACAUCAAAUCGUACCCCAAACCGACACAGGUGGUCAGGUAGAGAAUACCAAGGCGCUUGAGAGAACUCGGGUGAAGGAACUAGGCAAAAUGGUGCCGUAACUUCGGGAGAAGGCACGCUGAUAUGUAGGUGAAGUCCCUCGCGGAUGGAGCUGAAAUCAGUCGAAGAUACCAGCUGGCUGCAACUGUUUAUUAAAAACACAGCACUGUGCAAACACGAAAGUGGACGUAUACGGUGUGACGCCUGCCCGGUGCCGGAAGGUUAAUUGAUGGGGUUAGCGCAAGCGAAGCUCUUGAUCGAAGCCCCGGUAAACGGCGGCCGUAACUAUAACGGUCCUAAGGUAGCGAAAUUCCUUGUCGGGUAAGUUCCGACCUGCACGAAUGGCGUAAUGAUGGCCAGGCUGUCUCCACCCGAGACUCAGUGAAAUUGAACUCGCUGUGAAGAUGCAGUGUACCCGCGGCAAGACGGAAAGACCCCGUGAACCUUUACUAUAGCUUGACACUGAACAUUGAGCCUUGAUGUGUAGGAUAGGUGGGAGGCUUUGAAGUGUGGACGCCAGUCUGCAUGGAGCCGACCUUGAAAUACCACCCUUUAAUGUUUGAUGUUCUAACGUGGACCCGUAAUCCGGGUUGCGGACAGUGUCUGGUGGGUAGUUUGACUGGGGCGGUCUCCUCCUAAAGAGUAACGGAGGAGCACGAAGGUUGGCUAAUCCUGGUCGGACAUCAGGAGGUUAGUGCAAUGGCAUAAGCCAGCUUGACUGCGAGCGUGACGGCGCGAGCAGGUGCGAAAGCAGGUCAUAGUGAUCCGGUGGUUCUGAAUGGAAGGGCCAUCGCUCAACGGAUAAAAGGUACUCCGGGGAUAACAGGCUGAUACCGCCCAAGAGUUCAUAUCGACGGCGGUGUUUGGCACCUCGAUGUCGGCUCAUCACAUCCUGGGGCUGAAGUAGGUCCCAAGGGUAUGGCUGUUCGCCAUUUAAAGUGGUACGCGAGCUGGGUUUAGAACGUCGUGAGACAGUUCGGUCCCUAUCUGCCGUGGGCGCUGGAGAACUGAGGGGGGCUGCUCCUAGUACGAGAGGACCGGAGUGGACGCAUCACUGGUGUUCGGGUUGUCAUGCCAAUGGCACUGCCCGGUAGCUAAAUGCGGAAGAGAUAAGUGCUGAAAGCAUCUAAGCACGAAACUUGCCCCGAGAUGAGUUCUCCCUGACUCCUUGAGAGUCCUGAAGGAACGUUGAAGACGACGACGUUGAUAGGCCGGGUGUGUAAGCGCAGCGAUGCGUUGAGCUAACCGGUACUAAUGAACCGUGAG